rnacentral:rRNA from 1 species
GAUGAACGCUGGCGGCGUGCCUAAUACAUGCAAGUCGAGCGAACGGACGAGAAGCUUGCUUCUCUGAUGUUAGCGGCGGACGGGUGAGUAACACGUGGAUAACCUACCUAUAAGACUGGGAUAACUUCGGGAAACCGGAGCUAAUACCGGAUAAUAUUUUGAACCGCAUGGUUCAAAAGUGAAAGACGGUCUUGCUGUCACUUAUAGAUGGAUCCGCGCUGCAUUAGCUAGUUGGUAAGGUAACGGCUUACCAAGGCAACGAUGCAUAGCCGACCUGAGAGGGUGAUCGGCCACACUGGAACUGAGACACGGUCCAGACUCCUACGGGAGGCAGCAGUAGGGAAUCUUCCGCAAUGGGCGAAAGCCUGACGGAGCAACGCCGCGUGAGUGAUGAAGGUCUUCGGAUCGUAAAACUCUGUUAUUAGGGAAGAACAUAUGUGUAAGUAACUGUGCACAUCUUGACGGUACCUAAUCAGAAAGCCACGGCUAACUACGUGCCAGCAGCCGCGGUAAUACGUAGGUGGCAAGCGUUAUCCGGAAUUAUUGGGCGUAAAGCGCGCGUAGGCGGUUUUUUAAGUCUGAUGUGAAAGCCCACGGCUCAACCGUGGAGGGUCAUUGGAAACUGGAAAACUUGAGUGCAGAAGAGGAAAGUGGAAUUCCAUGUGUAGCGGUGAAAUGCGUAGAGAUAUGGAGGAACACCAGUGGCGAAGGCGACUUUCUGGUCUGUAACUGACGCUGAUGUGCGAAAGCGUGGGGAUCAAACAGGAUUAGAUACCCUGGUAGUCCACGCCGUAAACGAUGAGUGCUAAGUGUUAGGGGGUUUCCGCCCCUUAGUGCUGCAGCUAACGCAUUAAGCACUCCGCCUGGGGAGUACGACCGCAAGGUUGAAACUCAAAGGAAUUGACGGGGACCCGCACAAGCGGUGGAGCAUGUGGUUUAAUUCGAAGCAACGCGAAGAACCUUACCAAAUCUUGACAUCCUUUGACAACUCUAGAGAUAGAGCUUUUCCCUUCGGGGGACAAAGUGACAGGUGGUGCAUGGUUGUCGUCAGCUCGUGUCGUGAGAUGUUGGGUUAAGUCCCGCAACGAGCGCAACCCUUAAGCUUAGUUGCCAUCAUUAAGUUGGGCACUCUAAGUUGACUGCCGGUGACAAACCGGAGGAAGGUGGGGAUGACGUCAAAUCAUCAUGCCCCUUAUGAUUUGGGCUACACACGUGCUACAAUGGACAAUACAAAGGGCAGCGAAACCGCGAGGUCAAGCAAAUCCCAUAAAGUUGUUCUCAGUUCGGAUUGUAGUCUGCAACUCGACUACAUGAAGCUGGAAUCGCUAGUAAUCGUAGAUCAGCAUGCUACGGUGAAUACGUAUCCCGGGUCU